UACGACCACAUCACAUUAAAACAGUAGUUCCCACAUGAUCACCAAAGUUAAGCAAUGUCAAGCAUGGUCAGUACUUAGAUGGGUGAUCGCUUGGGAAUACCUGGUGCUGUAA